GAAAGGGCUUACACAACAGCCUAAGAACUAUGAAAUCCAGACUGGACCUUAAAACCACUGGUCGAUCUUGCCAGACUUCCACAGAGGUGAGAUGGAGAGAAGAAAGGAAGAGGAGGAAGAAGAGGAGGCAUAACAAAAAACCAAAGGGUUUUGAACUCGAACAUACAGUCUCGAAGUCUUGGCCUGAAAAUUUUUAAGUGCAGAAGGGUUUUUACUGCCUAACACAUGUUUUAUGAAGUAAGUAUAGU
rnacentral:lncRNA from 1 species